CUUGUAAAGUUACAUGGUUGUCCUUAAAAAAUUUUGAAAUUCCGAAAAUACCCUUCCAGGGUUUUGCUUCAGAAUCUCAAUUCAGCGUGAACAGAGACGUUUCUACUCCACUGCUUCCAUGGCGCCGGCGUGAACAUUGUUAUCUUCUUCUUCUUUGCACCGGGGUUUUCAGCUGAUCUUGAAAUUGAAUUCUGGAACUUGAAGCUAUUGCUAAUUCAGGAUGGGUGACAACUCAGAUGAGAGUUUGGAUGAGAGUUCACAUGAUAGUUCAUAUGAGAGUUUGGAUGAGAGUUCAGAUGAGAGUUUGGAUGAGAGUUCAGAUGAUAGUU